UGGGGAAUAUUGGACAAUGGGCGCAAGCCUGAUCCAGCCAUGCCGCGUGAGUGAUGAAGGCCUUAGGGUUGUAAAGCUCUUUUGUCCGGGACGAUAAUGACGGUACCGGAAGAAUAAGCCCCGGCUAACUUCGUGCCAGCAGCCGCGGUAAUACGAAGGGGGCUAGCGUUGCUCGGAAUCACUGGGCGUAAAGGGCGCGUAGGCGGCCGAUUAAGUCGGGGGUGAAAGCCUGUGGCUCAACCACAGAAUUGCCUUCGAUACUGGUUGGCUUGAGACCGGAAGAGGACAGCGGAACUGCGAGUGUAGAGGUGAAAUUCGUAGAUAUUCGCAAGAACACCAGUGGCGAAGGC
rnacentral:rRNA from 1 species